rnacentral:lncRNA from 1 species
UUUUUUUUUUUUUUUUUUUUUUGCCCUGAUAAGUACUAGUACUCUAUUAUUUAUUAGCUGCAAUUCCCCCCCCCCCUUUUUUUUUCUUAACGCAUAAAACUACUUAGAUAUUUCGGUCAGAAAACCGUCAAAAGUAACUCUUUUUUUUUUUUUGUUUGUUUUGGCAAUAGAAAUUAACUUAUCAAUAUAGUUUUUUUUUGUUUUUGGUUUGCUUUAAGAAUGUUAAUACACUUGACACGUUUUCAUUUUAAUCAAAAAAAUAAAAAGAGUCUACUGAUUAGCCUCAUAAUUUAACAGAAAUAAUCUCCAAUCAAAAACAAAAAAAAAGCAACAAUUUGUGUGGCAGGAUUUGAUGGUUUGUCAUCACUCAAAGGGGAAUCACUUUUUACCUCGAACUUUUUGUCCAGAGAAAACUUGUUAUGCAUCUUUCUACAAGAUAAAGGCGUGUUCAAAACGAGAAACGCAUUAAUUAGCUGGAGAAGAAAGAAGCCAAUUUGACGCUGGAGACGUACCUAAGCCGUUGAACUUUGACUUUUUUUCAACCCAGAAACCAAAAUGAGAAAGAAAAGUUAGUUUAAAUACAAAAAAAAAAGAAAAAAGAAAAGAGAGAGACAAAUCCUACUUUUAACGUAGUAAAAAAAAUCGAUGUCCAUUCCAUGUGAUUGCAUGGGCACCAUCCACGGAGAAAUAAAUCUAGGUGGAUGGUAUUUUAUUUUAUGUGCAUUAAUUUAGAAGGAGAGAUUCAUCUUCUCGCUGAGUCGUGAAGCUAAAUCACUUUUAGCAGAAGAUUUAAUGCAACCGAUUCGAAGAGAAGAGUGCUAGUAUUAAUGGGUUUGUUUGGACUGAAUAUUAUUGUUUGAAAUAAUUACUGUAGCACUUUUUAUGAUACAACGUACGUGAAAUAAAAAAGAUGAUUGAAAAUAUAAAAAUGUGUUCACCCGCCACGCCACGUGUGCGUGAAUCCAAACUUUGAUUACAAAGAAACACUACUACUAAGUAGCAGACUCUUUCGCCCCCUUAAUAAAAUUCAGAAGGAAAAGAAAAGGCAAAAUUAUGGGUAGUGCUUUGCGGAGACCAAAACCUUCUUUAAACCCCCUAAUUAUUUCUACCAUUUCUAUUUGCAGUCUCGUGGAAAGCAAGAGACAGGCUUCUCGAAUAAGAGUUGAAAUUUGUGAAGCAUGGGAGAUAGAAGAAAAGAAGCAAAAUGAUGACCCCUUUUUUUUUAUGUAGACUUUAGAGAAGAGGAGGGGCCAGCAAAGUGGAAUUCUUGUUUGGUUGGAUUGGGAUUGGAGGACUCCUCCUUUCCAACCUCACCAGCUAGCACACAAACGAAAGUGAGCAGAGUAUUUCCACCCAAUUCUUGGCUUGCCAAGAAUGAAGAAGACGACCAAUGAAUGGUCGCCGAACAAAAUGACAAAAACACCCUUCCCUUGAUAAUAUAUAGUACUUUUACAACUAGGUAGUGUAGUAGUGGUUACGUGUCUCCAUCGGAAAAUAUUUAGUAGCAGAGACUUGACUUGAGAGCAAUGAGAUUCCACUCUGAUCAUGCUAUGUCAAAUGAAGAGAAGGGAAACAAGAGAGAGAGGAAAAAAAAUUGAAGGCAGGGACAAAAGAUACCCUCAUGAAGAAGGAGAGGGCCACGGACGAUGUGCUUGUCAUCACAUGCAAGAUGCUUCGUCAGCCAAGGCCAAGGGAAUCUCAUAAAUUAUUAUUGUUCAUCAUCGGAUCCAAAAUCAAAGCUGGCCAUCCACCGCUGAAAGACGACGAACAAAGAAUAAAAUUCCAUCCUUGCCGAAUAAUUAAAAAAAAAAAAAAAAGAAUAAGAAAAAUUCUAUGUAUUCACCCCAUUUUACUUAUACCCCCCCUUGACCUUUUCUAAACUGAAGUCUAGAAAUUCGAUUUUUAUAAACCUAAUCCCAGAAGAAACCUCAAAAGCCGGCAACUCUUGAGGUCCUUCCAGGGACUUAUAAACCAAACCCAAACCCCCCCCAGAACCGAUGUGGGAUGGCAAACCCCACAAGGGCAAGCCAGUAAGGCCGCUGCUGCAUUUUACUUAUACCCAAGUGCAAAGGUAAUUAACAUUAAAGUGAAAACUUACUGUACAGGGAUCAUUUGUGUCUUGUAUCAUAUUAAUUUGCAUUAAAGCGGGCAAUUCUGUACUAGUAGUUUUUAGUUGACCAUGGAGCAAAGUCAAUGACAAAUAAAUGGUGAAAAAGGGAGGCAGGAAUAAGUAAGAAUAAUAUAAGAUCGAUAAACACAUAAGCACUGCCAGUCCACUAGGGUUUAUUAAAAAAAAAAAAAAACGUCGUGCGUAGAUCCCUUGACUUGGACGUAGAUUUGCUUUGAACGAGAAGGGAAGAGAUUACCGAAACAAUGACCGUACUUUCCCUGGCUUUGUUGUUGUGGCACUAAAUCUAAUGGGGCGUUUUGAAAACCCUAGGGGGACUUUUUCUAUUUGUUUAUCGUUCUUAAUUCUACGGCUACUGUUUGUCAAAUAUCCAAGUGUGAAACAUAUUAUUGAAUCACAUCCGUAUGGUACAACAACAACGUAUUUAGAUGCUCUUUCUUGGAUUCUAUCAUGGGGGUUGUCAUGAUGAACCAGAAGAAAACAACUGCCGUGAUGCAUUAUGCUUUGUCCAGCUUCGGGCCCUGUUUUGUCCCAUUCCCUUGUCACCAUUUGUUCAAUCGACGCUCUCAGAUUUUUCAUUUCUAAUACUCCAUCCGUCCCACUUUGAUAGUUUUGGGCCUUGUUUGGAUUGCUGGUUUCCGUCGAAAAAUGACGUCGUUUUCCGUAAUCACAUUUCCCUAUGACCUUUUUCCCUCACAUACAUCAAAUUGCUACAGUAAUUUUUCCAUGAAAAAUCACGAAAAAUACAAUCCAAAUACAAUCUUGUUUUUCUUUUUCGUCUAUCCCAAAUUAUAGUCCACUUUCCCAUUAAGAAAUGUAAUAAUCUUUUAAAUUGUCUAAAAUACCCUUAUUAAAUAUCUUGUUAUUAAUACAUUGUUAUUAAAUACUAACCCACUACAUUGAAUGCAUUGAGUUUCUCCAAUACUAACCCAUUGGCUGUAACUGAUAUUAAUUGGCACUCUUCGUGAUUAGCAUAAGGGUAUUUUAGGAAAUUAUUAAUCUAAAUUUAUGUUUCCAACCAAAUUAAUUACAUUUUCUUAAUUUGUGUGAAAAAAAAAAUCAAGACUAACAAAAUGGGACGGAGGGAGUAGUAAAUAAUAUGUUUGGAAGUGUUCAUAAUUGGCCGUAGAGCUGUUAAUCAAGCCGAGUCGAGUCGAGUAUUUGGCUACCGAGCUCGAAUCGAGUUUAAUUCGAGCCGAGCUCGACUCGAGCUCGUUAGGAAAACGAGUUUUAAAAUGUGUUCGAACUUGGCUCGUUAAAUAUACAUGUGGCUCGAGCUUGACUCGUUUAUCACAAACGAGUCGAGCUUCACGAGCUCGAGCUCGAGUUCGUGCAAAUUAACUUUAAUAAAAACCUAUAAUUUUUAAUUUUUAUAAUUUUGAUUUCUAAAAUAACAAAUAUGUCCUUCAUUAACGAGCUCUAACGAGCUACUCGAGUAUCAAACGAGCCAAGCUUACUCGGCUCGUUAACUAAACGAGCAUGUUUCGAGUUCGAGCUCGACUCGUUAACCAAAAUUAACGAGCCGAGCUCGAGCCUUAACGAGCCGAGCUCUAACGAGUUUUCGAGCUAUUCGAUUGACUUAACAGAUCUAAUUGGCCGCAGGUAAGGGUAACGUUCAGACUUCCGACUGGUCUUGGAUUUUGGUUAACUAUCGAAUAGACCUGUGAAUCCGGUCUCAUGAGCCGAGUUUUCGUAAGUUCGAGUUUAACUCAUUUAAUUUGUUGCAUAUUUUUUCAUGUGUAUCUGCUGCUAUUAGUACAUAUUUUUUCUUGAAUGAAAUUUUAUUGUUUAUAGAAGAAUAGUUAUGUAGUCGAAUAGUAACUUGUUAAACUUAAAAAAAAAAAAAAAGACCAAAUUUUGUAGAAUAUGAUAAUCUGACAAAUCCAUCUGACCUCUUCAAUUCUUUGUUUCUAACAAAUUUCAUGGACCAAGGGCAAGGACACCGACCUAAACAGUAUUAGGCCUUGUUUGGAUAGAAAAAUUGCUACGUUUUUCGCGAACAUAUUUUUUAAUCAUCUUUUUACCUUACAUAUAUCAAAUCGCUACAAUAUUUUUUCUAAAAAAUAAAAUUCAAAAAAUGCAAUCCAAACAAGACCUUACAUUUUUUUGAAUAAACUACUUUGUAAAAUAUCAUGCCUUUUUAUUGUAAAAAUGUACAGAUAUUUUACUUAAAAUUACAUAAGGUUCAAAAAAAAAAAUUUAUACUAUUUAGGAAGUGUUGAUCUAGCAACCAUCCAUGUCCCACGUCCAAAUGUCAUACGGACUUUUUUAUCUUUUCCCGGGAUCUUUUCUUCGAAGUGACUUAACUGUAUUCAUUAUUGAAUGGGGGUGAACGUCUUUCCGGACAUGUGUUUAUAAACAUUACAUGGCAUGAUUAGUGUCAAUGGAAGCAGGAUUAAGAGGAAUCUUAUGCUCUUUGACCGUUCUUCUGCAAUCUGACUCCUUUCCGCAGGCUACCCCAUCCUCCCAAAACAGAAAAUGCCCAAUUCGCACGCUUUCAAAUGUCCUUUCUCUACCCGUAUAUCAGCUAAAAUCAAGUAAAAACGCCAGAUUCGUGUACAGCAGGUAAAGGACCCUUUCUUUCUGAGAAUAUGUUUCCACUACAGUUUUCCGCCUUUUCACAUUCCCUUUCCUCGUCGCAAUAAAUUGAUUCCUGCCCCCAAAAAAACAAAAAGGGAGAGAGGGGGAAAAACAGCCCCGCUCUUCCUAGAACUUAUGCGCUACUUACUAGUAGUAGUAUUUUCUCUACCCUCGUGACAUUAUCAUAAUACAACAUUAAUUAAGUUGUUUUUGAGGCCGCCCACCAACCAAACGUCCGCUCUAAAACAUUGAACCCAACUACCCCAUCCCAAUGCCCAAUAAUAAAGUGAAAUGCAUUCAGGUAAAUGAAAAUUAAAGGAACAAAAUUUUCAACUUUGUUUUUCAGCCCUCGUCUUGAUUAUGCUAUCAUUACUUUGACAUCCAUAAUACAAAGACUGUAAUAGAACCAAGAUACUCCCUCCAUCCCACUUUGAUAGUCUUGUUUUCUUUUUUCGUCUGUCCGACAUUGUAGUCCAGUUUCCAAUUGAAGAAUGUAGUUGUAUUUUAAUUUUUCUAAAAUACCCUUAUUCAAUAUAAGUUGUUGUUACUAUAAACCUACCCCAUUUAAUGAGACUUUAUUCUUUUUUUACCAUCAAUUCAAGUUCCCGUAAAGUUAUACUCUAAUUAAUGUGAGGGUAUUUUAGGAAAAUAACUAUCUAAAUUGAUUGUUCUAACAAAAUUAACUAUUUUUGCUUAAACAGUGGUAAAAAAAAAAUUCAGGACUAUUAAAGUGGGACGGAAAGAAUAUAUAUUAUUAUCUCUCUUCUGAUGAUUCGUAUUUUUGGAUUUUUUUUUCCACCCAAAAGGCCUAAAAAAUGUCACGCGAAACGUAAAUUCAAGAGAGGUACGUAAAAUUGUAAAAAUAUCAAAAGUGCUAAGCGAGUGAUAUUUUGUCAUCAACACCGUAUUGAGAUUUACCCCCAAGCAAAAUUUUGAGAACAAUAAACAAGUAGAGCCAACAAGAAGGAACUAAACGCCGGACAAACCGAAAGGAUCCAAGAAUAAAAAUUUUACGUGGAGGAGAAGAUUCCCUUGAAAAAAGCAAUAAUGGAAUCUGGUGGCUGUAAAGGCAUGAAACCCCGCAUCAUCUCCCUUCUUGGAGUCCCAGCACCCAGUCCUUUUACCUUUUUUUCUUUCUUUCUUGGCCAUUUUUUCCCCUGCAUCCCAAUUAUUACGUUUACUCCCAACGCCACCUUGCAGCGGAAAAAUCGCAGCCGAUGUCCCAAAAAAAAAAAAAAAAAAAAAAGGUGGAUCCCGCUCAUCUUCCCAAGAUUCCUUCGUCUGAUGAAAUGCCAAAAAUAUGCUAUGCUAUGCUAUCCGCUCUGCGUCGUCAAUUUUCCCGGCCUAAUUCAUCUUCCAAGUGUCGCCUAUGGCUUCUUCUCCUUUACUCUUCCAGAAUCUUUUCUUAUCGUCUCCUCUCUUUUCUUUUCUUUUCCUUUUUUUUUUUUUUUUUUUUGGGUUGCUGGAAGCAAAAGAUAACAUAAAACCCAUCUUCCUUCCUUUGCAAGCUAAAAAAACUGACGACUGACGACUGUUCUGCUGCUCGACGCAAUUCAAUUUUGAACAUAGUAUUGAUUUAGACGACAUAUAUAUUGGUUACCAACAGCAAAAGAUCAGUAGUGUAAGACAGAUGAAGGUAUACAAAGAAUAAUUUUCGGUUUCUGCAACUUGUAAUUUGUGCAACUGAAUCUAAACAAAGCUUCAUCAAAUCAAAUCAAAUCUACCUAAACUAAACUAAACUAAACUGCAAGAUCUUGCUUGGUGGAGCAUCCUCAGUUACGACAGGGUACAAUAUACUGUAUAUAAAAUGCAUAGUUUUUUUGUUUUGUUUUUUUUAAGGUGAGCGGGAGGAUGAUUAUCCUUGGCUUCACAUGACGCAAUUUUUAGCUAGGAGAUACUCACAAUAAACCAUGAAAAACUUCUUGAUCCAUCCUUUGGACUUUCUCUUUUUUUUUUUUUUUUUUGGGGAUGUUACAAGCUGAGUACUUUCUAUAUAUAUUUUUAAUUAAAUUUGUCAAUCAAGUAAUAUUACAAAGUUGGCUAGAAUGUAGCUUAGAAGCUUAGGCUAAUCCAUUUUUUUCUUUAGAACCAUCAACAUUAAUGAUAACAAUAAAAUUCGAAUAAAAAAAGUUCUAAAUAUCUUAAUUUAUUUUUUAAAGUUCACAUUUCUCACGUUGACAGUGGAUACAUUAUCACAUGUAUGAUCAAUAUAAUAAAGUUUUAACUUAUAUAUAUAUAUAUAUAUUAAUGGAGUUAUGCAUUUAAAACUACACAUGGAAUAAGCUAGAACAAAAAAAGAUUAAAUAAAUAAAUAAAGGAGCUAAAAGAUCAGAUCAAACACAACUAUGACGCUAAUUAUUAAAUUAAAAAAGUCUGUGAUGCCAGCCAAAGGGACGAAUCCACGUGUUGUGAAUCAAGUAGAUGGACCUCGGCAAAAUGUCCCUUUUGCGGGUCAAUUGUAAUUCUGAUCUACCACGGCAAAGAUUCGAGCUGCUAUGGAAUGUGGAUUCUUAUAUUAUUCGCAUUUUGACCGUAUUCUCCGUCUGUUUCAGCGUGGGGAUGCAUGCUUACAUCCACGGCGUUUGUACAUAUUUAUAGUGAAGUACGGAGAUUUCUCCAUUACCGCGUCAUUAUAGUCUUUUUGGAUGCAAAAUAAGGCUAAAAAUUAGUGAAGUAUGAAGAUAUAUUUGAGAAUCGUAUCGGUGGUGGGCGAUGAGUAAAAAUUUUAUAAACGAUUUAUAAUUUUAUAGGCAUGCAUUAACUUGUGAUGGUGAUGAAAAUCGAAUUCAUCCAAUUAUUUUUAUUUAAAAAAAUAAAGAUGUGUAAAUUUGGAUCGUUGUAUUGAUAACCUAUCACAUUAUAUUAAAUUGAAGCGCUCAAACACGCAUCCCUUUACUUUUAAAAUUUUCGACAUAUAGGAUAGACGAAGGAAACUUAUUAUUGUUGCGGAGACCAAUGAAGAAGGAAUUUAUGACAAUUUAUUGUUAUAUAGUAUGCUAUUUUUAACGCUUCAAAAGCUUGGUAAAGAACUCCACAAGUGCAGGACAAAGAACUAAAAAUAUUUUAUUGUCUUGCAAGUUUCUUUUUCCUUUUUCAUUAUUUAUGAUGGAAAUUGGUUAGCAAACAAAUUUCUACAUAGAACAAGGUAAAGAGAUGCAUUAAACACAAUCAAGACUCGAUUAUUCUCAAUUUGUCAUUUUGCGGGGACUCAAUUAUUCUCUAGUAUGCAAUAUUAAUCUUAGUAAUUCAUUAACAAAAAUAAAGAAAUUUUACCGAUCACUAGUAAGAAUGUAAUGUCUAUAAAAUAAAAAGAUGAUUAAACAGCGUAAUUUUUUUUUAAUGAAAACUCACCAUCCAAAUGAAUAAUUUUUUGUUUUUUAGUGUCGUGUGGCAAUCACGCACGAUGAAAAUGUUAAAACAUCAAGUCACAAACGCCCCACGAGAUUCCAAGGAGGGCAAUUUAGACUAAUUACCCGACUUGGAUGGAGGAAUCUACCAGAAGAUAACCAGAACUGGCUGGGUCAAAACCUCCGACUUUCAUCUAUAAUUAAUUAAUUGCAGAGUAAAAGAAUUAAAAAAAAAAAAAUCCUAGAACAAUAGAAGAGUAUAUUACUAGAAAAAGAUAAGGAAAAAAUAUGCGACGACGCGAUAGUGGCAAUAUAUAAUUCUAUCCCAACUUUCUCGCUGUCAAAACCCAGCGUUGCUGUUUUUGAGAAUCUUCCCUUCGCCUCUCCCCUCUCUCCUCUCUUUCUCAAGUCUAAUCUUCACCGCUCUCUUAUAUAAACAGAAACCAGAUAUAUAUAGAUCUUAAACACCAUUUUUUUUUUUAACUUUCCUUUUUGUUCAAUGUUUUUUAGCUUAAAUGCCCACAAUCAUAAUCCAAAGAUCUAGAUUGAACAGAGGAAAAUAGACGAUCGAUCUCGCAUAUACAUAUCGAAACAAUACGACUGUGAGUAAUUUAAUUGGAAAAUGGGUUCAAUUCCGCCUGAACUGAGCUUGGAUUUUCGACCACCUUCAACGGGAACAGUAACAACCACCACCGUUACAGCUGCUGCAUCAGAAGAACAGAGUUGUUGUUAUGUCCCCAAGACGAUCGACGAGCUGGUUGGACAAGUGUCAAUGAUCGGUAACGUAGCGGAGAAGCUGUUAAAGCUUGAUGAUUAUGUGACGAAACUUGAAGAUGAAAUGAAGAAGAUCGAUGCUUUCAAACGUGAACUCCCUCUUUGUAUGCUCCUCCUCAACGAUGGUCGGUUCUCAUUAUCCUUUUUUUUUAAAAUUGUUUUCUUUUUUGAUUCGUAGAUGUCACGGGUCCUCCCUUUUACUCAUUCCUUUUCCUUCUGUUUCUGUUUGUGAAUUUUAGAAGGGGAGGGGGGGGGGGAGGGGAAGGAAGAAUGAGACUCGAACACUUGUUUUAAGAUGAGAAAGAGACACUGCCAAACCAUUUCGUUGGAUUCUUGAUGUCCUUUUGUUGCUAAAAUUUUGUGGAGGAAAUGAAAUGUUUGUCCUGUUUUGAUUUCACGAGCUAUGUUGGAGAUUGGAGGGAAUACUGAUGACGUUCUGGAGAUGGGUUUAGGAGUUUGAUGGUUUUGAUUGAAGGGUUUAUGAUUUAUUUAUUAAUUUUGGUUUGGGUUUUAGCAGUUCUGAAUGACUUUGUGGUUGUUGUGGUUGCAGCAAUUAGGACUUUGAAAGAGGAAUCGACGAAGUAUACGACAAUGGAUGCUGGACCAGUGUUGGAAGAGUUCAUUCCUCUCAAGAAAAAUUGUGAUGAAGAUGAGAAAUCGGAAAUGGUUGUUGAGACCAGCAAAAAAGAUAAGGACUCCAGAGAGAAGAUGAGUUGGAUGAGUUCUGUGCAGCUCUGGAAUAGUGAUAACCCUGCCUCCAAAAGUGAUUUUGACAUUAACGAGGCACAUUCUAAACCAGAAACCAAAAAGGUACUUUAUUAAAUAACUGAAUGCAUAUUGAUUAUGAAAGGUUCAUGUUUGUUAUUGUUAACAAUAUAAUAUGUUUUGUUUUGGAAAUUCAGAGAGUCGUGGAAGCAGAAAUCCAGGAGGAUUUGUUUGAGUCUUGUAAAAAUGGGAGCGUAGCAAGGGCAUUUGUGCCUUUCCAGGGGUGUUCUAGUCUACCUGUGAUGAUAACAAGGAAGGAAAAUGAGUAUGAAUUACCAGGAGUAGUACCUGGGCUUUCGCUUCAAACUCCUGGGACUAAGAAACUAAAGGAGGACAUUGGCUCUGGCGGGUUAAAUUCGAGAGUUGGUGGCAGCAGAGCUGUUUCUUGUUCUGUAUCCAGCGUUCAGUCAAAUGUAAGGGCGGCUGUGUCUCAGCAGCAGCAGCAGCAAACUUCUAGAAAGCAAAGAAGGUGUUGGUCACCAGAGUUGCAUCGUAGGUUUGUCGAUGCCCUGCAGAAGCUUGGAGGUUGUCAAGGUUAGAACUUGAACCCCUUGUUGCUGCUUUUGAUGUGAUUUAACCCGUAGUUUUGUCAGUGUUUUGUCAUUUUGCUG